UGGCAGCACUACCUGCUGUGCCACCAAGCCAUACUCAUAACGUAUAAACCUUUCUUCUUUAAAAUCCACAAUAACAGACCACAGCAUGUGUCAGGAAUUAGCCCUAGAACCUCCAGUGGUUGUGUUCAGCACUGACAUAUUCCUGAUGACAAGCAAAUGACUAUGUACAUAAUAAUCAGUCAGGGGUCUGAUGUGCCAAGGACAGACUUCCCAAAAUUGAGACACCUUGAACACCAAAAUAUUUGAACACUAUGAUCGGUGUGAAUGAACUAAAUAAACACAUGCUAUAAACAUCUGCAUAUGCCCGCUGUAUAAUUGGUGGUGUAUAUGUGUGUUUCAACAAAUGCGUGUAAACAAAAUAUAUCAAUAUGGGAAGCAUUGCAGUGCUAGCUAGCUGAAAUGACAGACAGUGUGAGUUCUUUUAGACGAUGAGCUAUUUAUCUUCCCUAAGCUCACAAACACAAAUGUGUGACCCCAGCCACAGAAAAAACAGGCUGUAUGUGAAUACGCACAGUUCAAGAGAGACUUCCGACUUAAACAAAUAUAUAUAUUAAACACAGAGUGCGAGGAAUUGCAUUCCACCGAAACUAUAGCAGAUACAUAAUACACAUAUAGCUGAGACAUAAUUGUGCAAACAGUCUAUAAGUGCACUUUAUAAUACAGGCAGUAAAAUGUACUGCUAAACACACAGGUUUAAUAACGGCAGAGAUGAGAAAGUUGCGUUUUAAGACUCCGACCUUUUCCACUUCUGAUCUGAGAGUGUUUGACCAGUCUGUAGCUCACUACAGCACACUCGGACCUGAGAUGACUCGGACUGAGAUGAGUCUGACCUGAGAUGACUCGGAGUGAGGUGAGUCGGACCUGAGAUGACUCGGACCUGAGAUUACUCGGAGUGAGAUGACAUGGAACUGAGAUGACUUGGACCUGAGAUGACUCGGACAUGAGAUGACUCGGACAUGAGACGCCUUGGAGUGAGAUUAUUCGGACCUGAGAUGACUCGGAGUGAGAUGAGUCUGACCUGAAAUGAGUCGGAGUGACAUGAUUCGGACCUGAGAUGACUUGGACCUGAGACGCCUCGGAGUGAGAUGAUUCGGACCUGAGAUGACUCGGAGUGAGAUGAGUCUGACCUGAGAUGAGUCGGAGUGAGAUGAGUCGGACCUGAGAUGACGUGGAACUGAGAUGAUGCGGAACUGAGAUGACUUGGACCUGAAAUGACUCGGACCUGAGAUGACUCGGACCUGAGAUGGCUCGCAGUGAGAUGACUCAAACCUGAGACGACUCGGAGUGAGAUGAUUCGGGCCUGAGAUGACUCAGUGCGAGAAGACUCGGACCUGAGAUGACUCGGAGUGAGAUGUCUCGUCCCCGAAGUGUUUGGGGAAAUGAGCGGAAGUGCUCACGAAGAGACCGUGAAACCAGCUCGGUGCUUGUGGCGCUCGCCUCGGUUUAACCGAGAGAUGUGGCGAAGGAUUCAAAAGCAGCGUGAAUUUUGGGCUUCUCGCCGCGAUCUUCCCUCAUCGCCAGUUCUCGACCGCUGCAGCUGGAGAAGAAAAUCGCGCUUCCUGGGUCCUAAAGCCUGACAGCUCUAUCCAGGUCACUUAUAUUGAACGGUUUAACCCAAAUGUUAAACCCAAAAACAUCUCAGCAUGCCUUAGACCUAAGGUGUCCUGGAGGUUGAAAGUUCAGAAACAGAAAGCUGAGUGGCUUCAGUUAGUGUGCAAAAUAUUACUGUAGCCUAUUACACAUAUAAUAAUAAUGUUAAUGAAAUUAUCUGUACUGAGGGGGUCCAUGUGGCCCUGUACUGUGAAACCUUUGUAUUAAAUAAA
ensembl:lncRNA